UUCACUUUCUGCUCCUCAGUCUGUGUUUCAAGCUCCUCUGUCUUCAUUCACCCUUGAGCAGUGCCUGGCCAGAACAGGUUUUGAUCACCAGAGCCCUAAACUCUAUAACCUUAGUGAGCAGACAGAUUAAGAUGGGCUGAGAGCUGUUCAAACCUUCCAUUGCCCCCUCCACUACUUGUCACCCUUAUUUCUAAAAGAAAAAUCGAAGCAUGCCGUGCUAGGGCCCUUUUGCUUUAAAAUGCCAACAGGAGGUGAACACAGUAGGGACUCCCCGCUAACUCCAACUUCUCCCUGCUGCCCCGCUGCUGGUAACGGGAACCUGAAAGCAAUUCAUCACAGUAAUGACAGCUGAUGCCAGACACCCGGUGACUGAUGGCCACGCUACCUGAAGCACGUCUGCCCAGCUCUCUCUUUCACUAGAGUAAUUAUUCGGGGUUGGUGGAGAUGGGGGUGGCUAACUCAACUUUGCACCUGCCCUGAGGCAGGAGAAUCAAAAAGAGACAGAAACUAAUGGCUGCAAGAGCUCAUAGAGAAGAUGGGAAAUCUGUCCGUUUAGAAAGGCAGCUCACCCCUGCAUUUCUAAUGGACUCUGGCAUACCCUCUCUGGGAAAAAAAAAAAUCUGGAAAGGCGGAUCGAUGCCAGGUGAGCUGUGUGGAAGCAGCAAGUCAAGAAGAGGCUUUUCCAUGCCCACUGCCCUGGCAGACCAAGAGGAAGGACACGGGACUGCAGCAAGAUGGAUGGAGGCUCUACGGACUUCUCCAGAUGAACCUCACUAAGAAGCCCUCAGGGGGCUGGAGGUUGCCACAACUGCAAGCUGCCCUCAUUGCAUCUUUGCUCGAGGCUCCUGGGGCUCCAGGGUCAGGAUCUCCUUACCAUGACAUUCCCUAGCUUCCUGAACUGGCCUAUCUCCACCUCUGCUCUCCUGAAGCCAUAGUAGGCUACUGGAAUUACGAUUUUCACACAGAUCAUUUCUAGUGCAUUUUGCUGACCCACCAACAGUCUACCUGGAGAGGGGAGUCCUCCUCAGGACCCAGCAUGGAAGUCACUGGCUGUCUUUCCUGUCCCACCCCCAGCAGCCUGCCUCCCCUCCACACUGGCUACAGAUUCUCAGACCUUGUCCAAAGUUUGCGUUCAAGAAAAGUCCCCUCACCCUCCUGCACUCUGACAUGCGCCCCACGUGGGGCUUCCUCAGCAGUGAGGAGAGCCCGAGGGGGAGGAACCAGGACCCCAGGGAAGCUGAAUGAGAAAAACCCAGGAUGCUCUCCCCUUCAGUCGCUCCCACAGGGAGCGAGGAUGUAUGUAGCUCAGGGCUGAAGCACCUGCCCAGCAUGCAGAAAGUCCUGGGUUCUGUCCCUCACAG